GAUGAACGCUGGCGGCGUGCCUAACACAUGCAAGUCGAACGGAGAUUACGGACGGAAGUUUUCGGAUGGAAGACUGUAAUUCUUAGUGGCGGACGGGUGAGUAACGCGUGGGCAACCUGCCCUAUACAGGGGGAUAGCAGCUGGAAACGGCUGGUAAGACCGCAUAAGUCGGCGAGACCGCAUGGUUUUGCCGGGAAAUGAGCAAUCAGGUAUAGGAUGGGCCCGCGUCCGAUUAGCCAGUUGGCAGGGUAAAAGCCUACCAAAGCAACGAUCGGUAGCCGGGCUGGGAGGCCGGGCCGCCACAAUUGGGGUGGGACACAGCCCAAAAUCCUACGGGAGGCAGCAGUGGGGGAUAUUGCACAAUGGAGGAAACUCUGAUGCAGCGACGCCGCGUGAGUGAAGAAGUAUUUCGGUAUGUAAAGCUCUAUCAGCAGGGAAGAUGAUGACGGUACCUGACUAAGAAGCCCCGGCUAACUACGUG
rnacentral:rRNA from 1 species